rnacentral:rRNA from 1 species
UAACGAAUCUUCCGCAAUGCGCGAAAGCGUGACGGAGCAAUGCCGCGUGCAGGAUGAAGCCCCUCGGGGUGUAAACUGCUGUCAGAGUUCAGCAACACAAUGAGCAGACUCAAAGGAAGGGCCGGCUAACUUCGUGCCAGCAGCCGCGGUAAUACGAAGGGCCCGAGCGUUGCGCGGAAUCAUUGGGCUUAAAGCGUACGUAGGCGGACAUGCAGGCGUUUUGUGAAAGCCCUCGGCUCAACCGAGGAAUUGCUUGACGAACCGCAUGUCUUGAAGCAAGUAGGGGCUGUCGGAACGAUAGGUGGAGUGGUGAAAUGCGUUGAUAUCUAUCGGAACGCCAAAGGAGAAAUCAGGCAGCUGGGCUUGUCUUGACGCUGAGGUACGAAAGCGUGGGGAGCGAACGGGAUUAGAUACCCCCGUAGUCC